rnacentral:lncRNA from 1 species
UGAUCUCAUUGUUCUAGAUGGAGUUUCCUCAGAUAACUCAUAUGAAGACUAAAGAGAAGAUGUACUCCCAAUGCUGAUAGGUCUUUCACUGAAGUUAUCAAAAUCUUUUUCUGUAAGCACGUGACCUAGGAUAGGAACUGAUGCAUUUCUUAUUUCCAGAGUCCAAUCCCAGGCUUCAUGCUCAUCAAAAAAUGGCAUCAUAACUUAUCACAAGAGAGUUAGUAGCAGAAUUAUAAAAUCGAUAAGCCUUAUUUUUCUCACUAUACCCCA